rnacentral:lncRNA from 1 species
UAGUACAGAACAAAUAAAGGCAGUAUGACAAAUAGCGAAUCCGACAAAUUUAUUCUGUAAUAGUAAUUGUAAUUAAGUGGUGCAGUAAAUUCGACAUAAUAAUUAUAACUUUGUGUAUUGGUUUGCAGUCUUCCUGAUAAAGGUCUAAAUGAAAUACAAAAAUUAACGUCACUGCUAUAAUUUAUUGAGCCCUUACAGUGUCCUGUGAUUAAAUAGAAAUUGUGGCUUAUAUUAAUUACAUCGUCACAGCAAGAACUAAGAUGACCUCAACGAUUCUACGUUAUUUCAUAUAUAGAAGUGUCACUUUAUUAACUAGUGAGGCACUUAAUUGUGUUAAAAUGUACUUACUAUAAUCAGAACAUACUAAAAAGAAUUAAAGAAAAGAUCACAAACGGUGAAUGGAUCAGUUAGUAGAUAUGGAGAAUGAAUUUCAUAAAAUCAGAUAUCUUUGCCUGCCCAGGUAAAUAAAACUUACGAAAUUAUAUAGCCAAAUGAAAAAUCAAGAUAUGGUUUCAAAACAGACGAAUCUAAUACAAAAAGUUUUAUGCAUUUUAAAUACAACAAACCGUCUUCAUGAAUAGACGAUAAUAGUCAUUCUAGCACCUUUGGUGGUAUUUUUUACAAAUCAAUACUAUGGAUUCAAGAGCCAAGAUUAAGACCUGUAUCAUCAAUGAAUCACAAAAUAAGUUGUGAAGAUCACAGUAGAUAUAGAUGUUCUCUCAAAACAUUUAGAAUAAUUUAUAAUUCAUACACCCAUAUCUACAAUAAAGUCAGAAAAAAAUUGAAAAAAAUUCUGGAAUAAAAUUAACAAAAAUUUUAAUUUAGAUUUUUAUCAAGACCGUCAUUAUAUCAAAAAAAUUCAUAAAAAUCCAAGUGGAAUCCAUAUAAUUAGAGUUAUGAAGGAGUAUUGUACACGUUAAACUAAAAAUUUUACUAAAGAAACAUGGGUAUAGAAAAUGACGAAAAACUUUGACUGCCCAUUCCAACACGCCGCGUCCAUCUGUUAAAUAAAUAUGGGACACAAAAGUUUUUGUGAUUCACAAAAUUUCUGUACUAAUAUAUUUUAUAACAUAAUUCUUAGUGUUAUAAUGAUGUAGAUUUUUAUCUGUAUACUGCAGUGCAAAGAAAAAGCUACUUUAAUUCUCAUAUCGCGAUAAACUAUGAGAUAUGUUAUAGAUAAUCAACAUUGUAUACAUUUUUUUUUUAAUUUUCUUCUUCGCAAAGCACAACAACAGCAUCAAUUGACACAAAAAUAAAAUGGGACUAAUACGGGUGCAUCAUCAUCGUCCUCAUCAACAUCGUCAUCUUCCCCCUUGGCGUGUUACGCCGACGUAAGAAAAACAUAUUUGUUUUUCUCUUUCAUUUUUCUCUAUUCACAAUCAUUCCCGCCAGAAUAGGAAUGAAUCCUAUUCUGGUUACAUGACUUCCCACAAAGUAUUUAUCUAUGUCUCUUUAAGCUUUCUUUCACCCUUACAGCCAUGCACAUUCAUACUAAAUACCUUUUUUUAAAAUAUACUACUUUUCAUUACACAUCUUUAAAACGCGCUCAGUAAUGUCGAUCAUUAUCAUUAUCGAUCAUUAUUGGAUUAGUAUUAGUAAUUUAUGUGAAAAUAAUUCGUAGUAUGUUGAUGCAUAAUAGGUUUUAUUCCCUAUAUUUUAUAAUACUAAUAGAGUGUAUUCAUUCAUUCAUACUGCCUUUGUGCAAUUCAAGGUAUAGGUUUGUUAUAGAUUUAUUUGGAACAGACUGAAAACUAGGUAGAUCGGGUGUUGUUAUAGAACACUGGGACUGUGAGUGUAUGGGCUCACCAGUUGCAUUAUCAGAAACAAAAAUAGUUUACAUUUUCCCUGUGCCUUGAGAAGACUUUGCUCAAUUUUUAAAAUAAAAAUUGAAAUUUUAUACUAUUAGCUACUCUAUUAUUAUAUUG